rnacentral:tRNA from 1 species
GUUCAAAUAGUUUAAAUAAAAAACGUUGGUUUGUGGUACCUAAGAUAUAAUUGUGUUAUUUUGAAUC